AGCAGCCGCGGUAAUUCCAGCUCCAAUAGCGUAUAUUAAAGUUGUUGCAGUUAAAAAGCUCGUAGUUGAAUUUCGGAGUUCUACCGUCGGUCGGGCUACCAAGUCUGUACUGGUGUGUAGAAUUCCUACCUUCUGGGGAACUAUCAUGUUAUUAAUUUAGCGUGGUGGGAAACCAGGACCUUUACCUUGAAAAAAUUAGAGUGUUCAAAGCAGGCUUAUGUCUGAAUACAUUAGCAUGGAAUAAUAGAAUAGGACGGUGGUCCUGUUUUGUUGGUUUCUGAAUCACCGUAAUGAUUAAUAGGGAUAGUUGGGGGCAUUAGUAUUCAAUUGUCAGAGGUGAAAUUCUUGGAUUUAUUGAAGACUAACUUCUGCGAAAGCAUUUGCCAAGGAUGUUUUCAUUAAUCAAGAACGAAAGUUAGGGGAUCGAAGACGAUCAGAUACCGUCGUAGUCUUAACCAUAAACUAUGCCGACUAGGGAUCGGACGAUGUUAAAUUUUAUUGACUCGUUCGGCGCCUUACG
rnacentral:rRNA from 2 species